CAGUCGCCGCGGUAAUGCGUAGGUGGCAAGCGUUGUCCGGAAUUAUUGGGCGUAAAGCGAGCGCAGGCGGUUAGAUAAGUCUGAAGUUAAAGGCUGUGGCUUAACCAUAGUACGCUUUGGAAACUGUUUAACUUGAGUGCAAGAGGGGAGAGUGGAAUUCCAUGUGUAGCGGUGAAAUGCGUAGAUAUAUGGAGGAACACCGGUGGCGAAAGCGGCUCUCUGGCUUGUAACUGACGCUGAGGCUCGAAAGCGUGGGGAGCAAACAGGAUUAGAGACCCGAGUAGUCCCUGUCUCUUAUACA
rnacentral:rRNA from 1 species